CAGCAGCCGCGGUAAUACGUAGGUGGCAAGCGUUAUCCGGAAUUAUUGGGCGUAAAGCGCGCGCAGGUGGUUUCUUAAGUCUGAUGUGAAAGCCCACGGCUCAACCGUGGAGGGUCAUUGGAAACUGGGAGACUUGAGUGCAGAAGAGGAAAGUGGAAUUCCAUGUGUAGCGGUGAAAUGCGUAGAGAUAUGGAGGAACACCAGUGGCGAAGGCGACUUUCUGGUCUGUAACUGACACUGAGGCGCGAAAGCGUGGGGAGCAAACAGGAUUAGAUACCCCUGUAGUCCCUGUCUCUUAUAC
rnacentral:rRNA from 1 species